rnacentral:rRNA from 1 species
UACGUACUGUGCGAACGUUAUUCGGAAUCACUGGGCUUAAAGGGUGCGUAGGCGGCCUGUUAAGUAGGGUGUGAAAUGCCAGAGCUCAACUUUGGCAUUGCGCUCUAGACUGGAUGGCUUGAGUGAGAUAGGGGUGUGCGGAACUUCCAGUGGAGCGGUGAAAUGUGUUGAUAUUGGAAGGAACGCCGGUGGCGAAAGCGGCACACUGGGUCUUAACUGACGCUGAUGCACGAAAGCCAGGGGAGCGAACGGG